GACGAACGCUGGCGGCGUGCUUAACACAUGCAAGUCGAACGGAAAGGCCCAGCUUGCUGGGUACUCGAGUGGCGAACGGGUGAGUAACACGUGGGUUAUCUGCCCUCAAUUUUGGGAUAAGCCUGGGAAACUGGGUCUAAUACCGGAUAUGAUCAACUGUCGCAUGGUGGUUGGUGGAAAGCUUUUGCGGUUGGGGAUGGGCCCGCGGCCUAUCAGCUUGUUGGUGGGGUAAUGGCCUACCAAGGCGACGACGGGUAGCCGACCUGAGAGGGUGAUCGGCCACACUGGGACUGAGACACGGCCCAGACUCCUACGGGAGGCAGCAGUGGGGAAUAUUGCACAAUGGGCGCAAGCCUGAUGCAGCGACGCCGCGUGAGGGAUGACGGCCUUCGGGUUGUAAACCUCUUUCACCAGGGACGAAGCGUGAGUGACGGUACCUGGAGAAGAAGCACCGGCCAACUACGUG
rnacentral:rRNA from 1 species